rnacentral:misc_RNA from 1 species
GAUGAAGAACGCAGCGAAAUGCGAUAAGUAGUGUGAAUUGCAGAAUUCCGUGAAUCAUCGAAUCUUUGAACGCACAUUGCGCCCGCUGGUAUUCCGGCGGGCAUGCCUGUUCGAGCGUCAUUUCAACCCUCAAGCCCCCGGGUUUGGUGUUGGGGAUCGGCUCUGCCUUCUGGCGGUGCCGCCCCCGAAAUACAUUGGCGGUCUCGCUGCAGCCUCCAUUGCGUAGUAGCUAACACCUCGCAACUGGAACGCGGCGCGGCCAUGCCGUAAAACCCCAACUUCUGAAUGUUGACCUCGGAUCAGGUAGGAAUACCCGCUGAACUUAAGCAUAUCAAUAAGCGGAGGA